CGUACACUCCUACGGGAGGCAGCAGUGGGGAAUAUUGCACAAUGGGCGCAAGCCUGAUGCAGCCAUGCCGCGUGUAUGAAGAAGGCCUUCGGGUUGUAAAGUACUUUCAGCGGGGAGGAAGGCGAUAAGGUUAAUAACCUUGUUGAUUGACGUUACCCGCAGAAGAAGCACCGGCUAACUCCGUGCCAGCAGCCGCGGUAAUACGGAGGGUGCAAGCGUUAAUCGGAAUUACUGGGCGUAAAGCGCACGCAGGCGGUCUGUCAAGUCGGAUGUGAAAUCCCCGGGCUCAACCUGGGAACUGCAUUCGAAACUGGCAGGCUAGAGUCUUGUAGAGGGGGGUAGAAUUCCAGGUGUAGCGGUGAAAUGCGUAGAGAUCUGGAGGAAUACCGGUGGCGAAGGCGGCCCCCUGGACAAAGACUGACGCUCAGGUGCGAAAGCGUGGGGAGCAAACAGGAUUAGAAACCCCGGUAGUCCCA
rnacentral:rRNA from 1 species